GAAGGAUGGGCGGUGGCGUGGCUCUCUAUCUUAAAGAGUGCUUUGAUGUUACAGAACUUAUGACUGGGGAUAAUAACCUCGAAUCUCUAUGGGCAAAGAUCAGUGGAAGAGCUGACAAGGCAGACAUCCUGGUGGGAGUCUGUUAUAGACUGCCAAACCAGGAUGAAGAGACAGAUGAGGUGUUCUAUGAGCAGCUGGCAGAAGCCAGCCCUUGUCCUCAUGGGGGACAUCAACUUCCCCGACAUAUGCUGGGAAUACAAUUUAGCACAGAAGAAGCAGUCUAGGAGGUUUCUGGAAUGUAUGGAGGACAACUUCUUGAUGCAGCUGGUAAGAGAACCUACGAGAGGAGCUGCCCCGUUAGACCUGCUGUUCACAAACAGAGAAGGUCUGGUGGGAGAUGUAGAGGUUGGGGGCUGUCUUGGGCAGAGUGACCACGACAUGGUAGAGUUCUCGAUUCUUGGUGGAGGCAGGAAGGGGAACAGCAAAACUGCUACCUUGGUCUUCCGGAGGGCAGACUUUGAAUUGUUCAGGAGA
ensembl:lncRNA